rnacentral:miRNA from 1 species
UGGCCAUUUAGGUUUAAAUUUCAAAUAAACAAUAAAAAAUACUUAGUAUAAGUAUAUCCUUUGCAAUAUUUGGGAUAUACUUAUACUAAAAAUUCAUUGUUUAUCUGAAAUUCAAAUUUUACUGGGUGUC